UACGUAGGGUGCGAGCGUUGUCCGGAAUUACUGGGCGUAAAGAGCUCGUAGGUGGGUUUGUCGCGUUGUUCGUGAAAACCGGGGGCUUAACCCUCGGCGUGCGGGCGAUACGGGCAGACUUGAGUACUGCAGGGGAGACUGGAAUUCCGUGGUGUAGCGGUGGAAUGCGCAGAUAUCAGGAGGAACACCGGUGGCGAAGGCGGGUCUCUGGGCAGUAACUGACGCUGAGGAGCGAAAGCGUGGGGAGCGAACAGG
rnacentral:rRNA from 1 species